rnacentral:lncRNA from 1 species
CACCAGAAGCUAGAAGAGGCCAGGAACAAUUUCUCCCCAGAGGCUCCUAAAGGAUAGUCCUGGUUCUAGAACUGAGCCCAGUUCCUUCUACCUCCCUGGUCCUGACCUUCAUAUAAGCUGGAGACUGAGACCCAUCAUCCUUUUCCCAAUGAAGCCUUCCAGACCUGACACACCCACUUACAUACUCUUCAUCUGUGCUUCCGCAUUGCCUUAUCGUGUGAUAUACCACAUCAUUCUGAAAGUAACUGUUGAUGUGACUGUCUCC